rnacentral:rRNA from 1 species
AUUGAACGCCGGCGGAAUGCUUUACACAUGCAAGUCGAACGGUAGAGGGGGCAACCCCUCGAGAGUGGCGAACGGGUGAGUAAUAUAUCGGAACGUGCCCAGUCGUGGGGGAUAACGUAGCGGAAGUUACGCUAAUACCGCAUACGAGCUAAGGAUGAAAGCGGGGGAUCGCAAGACCUCGCGCGAUUGGAGCGGCCGAUAUCAGAUUAGGUAGUUGGUGGGGUAAAGGCUCACCAAGCCAACGAUCUGUAGCUGGUCUGAGAGGACGACCAGCCACACUGGAACUGAGACACGGUCCAGACUCCUACGGGAGGCAGCAGUGGGGAAUUUUGGACAAUGGACGCAAGUCUGAUCCAGCCAUUCCGCGUGCAGGAUGAAGGCCCUCGGGUUGUAAACUGCUUUUGUACGGAACGAAAAGGUCUCUCUUAAUACGGGGGGCUCAUGACGGUACCGUAAGAAUAAGCACCGGCUAACUACGUGCCAGCAGCCGCCGUAA